UGUGUUAGCACUUAUGUAAUGAUACUAAAAUAAAUGUUUAUUAUUUCAUUUAAAAUUAUGUAUUAGAUAUAUACAAUUACUCAUUAAAUCUUUUAAAAUUUAGAAAGUUCCUAAAUUAGUAUGGCCCUAACCAUUUGAAAAUGCAUUGCCUAUACAACUACAAACGAACACUUUUACCAUGCAAAUGUAGAAAUUUCGACAGCAUCUCCCCUAGGUUCUCCAAUUGCACGAUAUGAAAAAUGAGCUAUUCCAUUUAAGAUUAUUAAAUGAAAUAUCACAUUUCUAUGUAUGCAAUAAGAGAACAUAGUGACAUACUAGUAAAUUUCUACUUAAGCAUAAGUAAAGAGGCACCCAUUUGUAGAGAUUGAAUAUAGACACUGCAUUUCCAAACUGUCCUUUAGGACAAUUCAGUAAAAGCUCACCCUCCAAUGAGUAUAUCACUGAACGGUCACCUAUGGCUAAAUGAAAUUAGAUUUACUUCAAUUUUUUUUACGUAAAGUUAAUAUGUAUGUUAUAUCAUAUGCAUAUAUGAAUAUUUAUCUAACGAAAUUUCGACAGCAUUUCAACUAUUUCAGAAUGUACAAAAACCUCUGUAUUAGGCUAAUUUUACAUUCCUGAAAUGAAAAAAAAAAAAAAAAAAA
rnacentral:misc_RNA from 1 species